CCAGAGGGCCAGGCGGCCGCGGCGUGGCGGGUAACUUCCACGGCGAGGAAAGUCCGGGCUCCACGAAAUGACGGUGCCGGCUAACGGCCGGCUGGAGUGAUCCAAGGGACAGUGCAACAGAAAGCAGGUCGCUAAGGCUUCGGCCCAGCGAAAUUGAAAGGGUGCGGUAAGAGCGCACCGCGUCUCCGGCAACGGAAGGCGGCACGGUAAACCCCACCGGGAGCAAGACCGAAUAGGGGCGGCGCGCAGGCAGUUCGAAAGGACUGUGCUGCUAGGCCUAUUUCGGCUGAGACCGUCCGGGUUGGUUGCUUGAGGGGCGGAGCAAUCCGUCCCCUAGAGGAAUGGCCGCCCAUCCCCGGCAACGGGGUGGACAGAACCCGGCUUACAGGCCCUCUGGUAUU
rnacentral:RNase_P_RNA from 1 species